GCGGGCGUAGUUUAGUGGCAGAACGUUAGCCUUCCAAGCUGAUCAUGGGGGUUCGAUUCCCCCCGCCCGCUCCA
rnacentral:tRNA from 1 species